rnacentral:miRNA from 1 species
CGCGCGCCUCUCAAUCCCUGAGACCCUAACUUGUGAUGUUUACCGUUUAAAUCCACGGGUUAGGCUCUUGGGAGCUGCGAGUCGCGCCUUUGCAUCCUGGAAAUUUGGUGGAACUUUUUUUCUU